rnacentral:rRNA from 1 species
UACGUAGGGUGCAAGCGUUAAUCGGAAUUACUGGGCGUAAAGCGUGCGCAGGCGGUUUUGUAAGUCUGUCGUGAAAGCCCCGGGCUUAACCUGGGAAUUGCGAUGGAGACUGCAAGGCUUGAAUCUGGCAGAGGGGGGUAGAAUUCCACGUGUAGCAGUGAAAUACGUAGAGAUGUGGAGGAACACCGAUGGCGAAGGCAGCCCCCUGGGUCAAGAUUGACGCUCAUGCACGAAAGCGUGGGGAGCAAACAGG